GACGAACGCUGGCGGCGUGCUUAACACAUGCAAGUCGAACGGAAAGGCCCUGCUUUUGGGGGGUGCUCGAGUGGCGAACGGGUGAGUAACACGUGAGUAACCUGCCCUUGACUUUGGGAUAACUUCAGGAAACUGGGGCUAAUACCGGAUAGGAGCUCCUGCUGCAUGGUGGGGGUGGGAAAGUUUCGGCGGUUGGGGAUGGACUCGCGGCUUAUCAGCUUGUUUGUGGGGUAGUGGCUUACCAAGGCUUUGACGGGUCGCCGGCCUGAGAGGGUGACCGGCCACAUUGGGACUGAGAUACGGCCCAGACUCCUACGGGAGGCAGCAGUGGGGAAUAUUGCACAAUGGGCGGAAGCCUGAUGCAGCAACGCCGCGUGCGGGAUGACGGCCUUCGGGUUGUAAACCGCUUUCGCCUGUGACGAAGCGUGAGUGACGGUAAUGGGUAAAGAAGCACCGGCUAACUACGUG
rnacentral:rRNA from 1 species